UGGUUCCAGUGCCGGCACAGUUGCCGACUAUUGUUUAUAUCCCUCCACCUUCUCUUCAGCUCUACCUUCAUCAGCCCAAAUUGCCAUUCUGCUCCUUGUCAUUACAACUUUACAUUCUUCCUUUGGAUUCUUCUUAGUGUUAGCACUAAAGCUACUUGACGGCCUAUCCGCUAACUGUUUUUCCAGCUGUCCCACUUGGACUUCCAGA
rnacentral:lncRNA from 1 species